GGGCUUCUUACACUUCUAACAAAGUUUAGACCUUUUUGUGACAAAACGAAAAUUUCGGAUACUUUUACGAAAUAUUCUUUAAAUUACUGUUACACGCAAUAAAAAAAAAGAAAAAAAAAAGGAUUUAGAACGAUUCAGAUAUUCUGAGAGUCAUGCUCUGACCUCGCCUCUAUGGAAACUCAAUCUUUUCUUCCAUUAUUAUAAACCCUAAAAUAUCUUUUCAAUUCUUUCUUCCUAUUCGUCGCUUCUCUUGCUUAAGCUCGUCGGUACUGUACCGCGUUUAGGGCUUGUCCGAAAAAUCUCCAGGAAAAAAAAAGAAAAACAUGACUCGUGCUUUGAUUUUAAUCUUGUCUCUGCUUCUGAUCCCUCACUUGGCUUCUGCGAAAAUUAUGUUGAUCGGGAAGAACACAUCUCUCUCCUUCGACGACAUCGAAGCCGACUUUACACCGAUGAUUAAGAAAUCAGAUCAGUGUGGGGUACUGUACGUAGCAGAGCCACUCGAUGCUUGUUCAGAUUUGGUUAACACAGUGUCUAUACCAGAAGAAGGAUCAAUCACUUCUCCUUCCUAUGUGUUAAUCAUCCGAGGUGGCUGUAGUUUCGAAGAAAAGAUCAGAAACGCCCAGAAGGCUGGUUAUAAAGCAGCUAUUGUCUACAACAAUGAAGAUUAUGGUUUCUUCUUAAUAUCAAUGGCUGGGAACCCAUCUGGUGUGGUUAUAUACGGAACCUUUGUGUCGAAAUCGACUGGAGAAAUACUCAAAGGGUAUGCGGGUCGUACCGAUAUGGAACUGUGGCUCGCACCGAGCUUCGAGACUUCAGCUUGGUCUAUCAUGGCUAUCUCGUUCAUAUCUCUUCUUGCAAUGUCUGCUGUCCUCGCCACUUGCUUCUUUGUCCGUAGGCAUCGGAUUAGAAGGCGGCGUGUUAGGUUAAUGGGUGGUGGAGAGUUUGCUCGUAUGGGGAUAGACUCGAUAAGAAGGAUGCCUACUACUGUCUUCAACGGUGUUUGUGAAGAAGCUUCUACUUCUAUCUCUUGUGUUAUUUGUAUUGAAGACUACCGUAUUGGUGAAAAGCUAAGGAUCUUACCUUGCAAUCACAAGUUUCAUGCUAAAUGUGUUGAUUUGUGGCUUGGCCAAAGGAGAUCCUUUUGUCCGGUUUGUAAACGGGAUGCAAGAACCAUCAACAUUAAUAUGCCUCCAUCACCAUCAGAACGCACACCUUUGCUUUCUCCUAGCGUGACUCCGACCUCGUCUUUUCUUUUAUCAUCGUCACCUUCCACAAGCUCAGUUCAGUCAUCUUAUGAUAUUCCUCCAUCUUCUUCAACAAUGCAGCUACAGACAGGCCCUAUGUAUCUCUCCCACUCUCGCUCCCAUACAAGCUUCCAAAACGGGUCAUUCAGUGGUUCACUGCCUAUUUCGGUUAGCCGAAGCUCAGUAGAUCUCAGGAAUGCCGUUUCCCGAGGAUCUUACAACUCACCUCGCUCUGUCCACUCAAGAUAUACGCAUAUACUUAGCCCGGAAAAUGCAUCAACGAGCUUGGUUGUUGGGUCGUUGUCAAGCCAGCGCGAGCAUUCAUUUACUAUUAAUGACUCGCAAAGGUCUCUCUCUCACUUUGCCUCUGCUAGUUCUCUACCAGACUGCUAAACCGGUAAAAGGUAACUACGGACUAACUCAGGAGUUCAGUGUCAGGGGGCUCAUUGUUUUGAAGACGCAGUUAACUACUCAUUCGAGGAGGAUGUCCCUUGGCUAUGUUCUAAAACUAAUGGCUGACCCAUAUGGCUGCUUUUAGCAAACGAUAGAGGUGAAAUGAGUGUUCAGUGUGACUGUGAGUGAUAUUCUUCAGAUGUACAGUUGUGGAGAAUGAUUGUGAGAUGAGUGAGUUUGAAGAGUAAAGCGUCUUUUGGUGAAUCAUUAAGAAUUGCAAUGUCAGUAUAGCCACCAUUUGUUAAAAGGGUCGAAGUCACCUUUUGCCCUUUCUAAUGUUCAGACCAAUGAUUUAACAUUUAUUAAUGUUGAUGUUGGAAUUUUCCCAGCAUACAAAGAUCAAUAGUUUUUUUUUUAACUGUGCUGAUUUGACGUUUAAGCUCAACUUUGUAGUUUGAUCAUAUAGCAAUAAAUUUUAAUUAUAGAAUAAUCUUUACUAUACAAAAUUUUGAUUUAAUUCCAAUAUUGAUAAUAAAAAAUGCAAUAUGUGAUUUAUGUUUAUUUGUUAAAAAAUAAAAGCAUUUCUUUUCAUGUAUGUGAUAAAUAAAUAAAUGUGAAGAUGAAGAGAUGGAUGUUACUCUCCGCCUCCUUCACCUUCAAGACCAGUAGCAGCUCCGGUGACCGGCGCGUGGCGGCUCCGUUAGCGCCACCGCCGGUCAGAUCUGUCGUUGAUUCUCUUUGUCUUUGUUCUGCACUUUUUCGUUUUUAUUUUGGUGAAGAUUUGGUGGUUGGGGAGCUUGAGAACCUGCGGCUUGGAGUGGUUUGUUGCUCCUUCCAUGGGUCCAUUGUAUGCUGAUGUUGUUUCUGAAGGUGGUAUAUGCAGUUAUGGCUGUGGCUUGGUUUUGGCUACACAUGUUCGAUCCAGAUCUAGCUCUAAGCCUUCAUCGUUUUGCGUGUUCUUUUCAAGCUUUCCUUAUCUAAAUCCUUUCCUUUAUUUCGUGGAGUUUGGUGUAGUGGAUUAGUCUUGGUGUUUUAUCCUCAUCUAAUUGGAAAUAUGUGGCUCUAUCAAUGGUCAAUGGUUCCCAAACUUGUAAUUUUAUUUCGGGUGAUGCUAUUGUGAACGCUUUUCCGUCGAUUUGUGUUGGUGGGAUUGACCUCGUUUUCUCCAGUUCUUGUGAGAAUGGAGUGUUGUGUGGAAGGCUUUUAUCUAGGCGUAGUGUGGUCGCAUAGAGUGCGUCGCUGCCGUAUCCGGAAGAUGUGUGACCCUAGAAUGGUUCGAUCUUGCCGGGUUAUAAAGUCUGGGUUCGUUAGUGAGGAGAGGAGUGCUCUCAGUGUGGUGCCAUCAGAGGUUGAGGUUAUCGUUCGGUGUGCCGUUGUCAUGAGCGACAACGAUAACUCUCGUUCAUAAGCAUCUUGAGUUGUUGGUUUGCUGCAAGUUUGGUGUGCUAGGUUCAUUGUAAAAGUGCUAUUGAAUUUUUCUUAAGUUAGUUGUGGAGUUGUAUUGGUGUGUCUAAAGCCUCCCCUGUGUGGGAUUUAGUUGCCUGCCCAUGGGCUGUUGUUGCUGUGAAUUAGCUUAUGUAUCAAACCAUGUAUUCCUCUUUCGAA